rnacentral:tRNA from 1 species
CAAACUAUAGCUUAUUUAUUAAAGCUUUUUAGUUACAUUAAUAGGAAAAAUUUUUUAUUUAGUUUGA